ACCUCAUUUUGUUACUUGUGAGGGGAAUGUGGUCACUAAACAUCCACUCCACAGAUUUAUGGAGACAAGUCGACCCAAGGAGAUUGAAUUGGUGGCGUGCGCUGAGAAUAUGCCUAUCGUUAUGAGGGACAGGCAGGAUGGGAGCAUUCGACUAUUUCCAAUCACAAAUAAGGAGUCCGCUUAUCUCCCUUCUUUUCUCAAGUUCCCUGCCACUGACUGUGUUGGUUUCGGAAGCUGCAGUGUAAACGGCAAUCCUUUCAACAUGAUUGUAUUUAUUCAAAAAGUAUUUGAACAUAAUAAUUUGUUAGAGACAUGUAAUUAUGCCUAUAAUCCAGAAUUCUGACCAUGCAGCACUAAAAGAACUCAUUAUUUCUGCACAGAAUAACUGUUUUAGUUUUGUAUAAUCAUUAGACGACCAACGAAUGAAUCUAAUCGACUCUCUCCUCACUGAGACUUGUGAUGGUAAUAGAAAUCCAAUGCACGUCGCUGUCAUUACCUGCAGAGUGGAGACUGAGGGUAACUCGGCCACCGAGUCCAAAACCUCAAAGAGAUGUGCUUCUGGAAAGAGUUUUUUAGACGAAG